rnacentral:misc_RNA from 1 species
UUCACAUCACCGCUUGUGGAAGGAAAUUCAAAAUCAAGGAAGGCUUACCUCUGAUGAGCCGUCAGUCGUGAAAGAAAACAACAAACAUGGAAACACAGCGGAAACCAUUAUCGACAAAAAACAUUGGCGGCAGCAAGUUGCCAAUGCCAGGGAGCCGCCUCAAACCCCCGCAGUCUGUGAGUGUGAAGCGAUCUCGCAGCUCAGAAGAGGACAGUGCUGUUGUUUCCAAUCCAAACCCAGGGAAAAAGUUCCGUUCCGAGGCCCCUCCUGCGAAGAUGAGUCGUAGCGUGUCGGUGUCCUCCCUCAACUCCACCCGGCCAACGCGGCCUGCUAACAACGCAAUGGUGAAGACACAGAGACGUCCCCCCCAACGGCCAGCUGGUGCAAACUUGUCUGUCACGAUAUCAGGCAUGCCCAGCAAGAGUGCCCCGCCCAAGAAGCCUCCCCCAGGACCCACCGUGCCCAAGGCAGCUGCUGCAGGCGGUAAGAAGCGAGCAGCAUGGGAUCUAAAGGGGCGGCUCCAGGACAUGGAGCAAGUGCUGCAGCACCGCGACCAGGUGAGCUCCACGCUCCAGGUCCAACUGGAGAGCUACAACAACAGAAUCAACACGCUGGAGUCCCAGAACACCCAGCUGAGUGGCACUGUGGCAGAGAAGGAGCAGCUGUCUACCGAGGUCUACAAGGAGAAUCAGGAGGUCAUCCGCAAACUCAGAGCCACUCAGGAUGAAUUGGAUGACAUGAAACGCAAGUUUCAGCGUGAGAUCGAGGACCUUAACUUCAGCAAGUCAUCUCUGCAGAGACAGAAGGAGAACCUUGAGGGUGAGGUCUCCGCUUACCAGAAGGAAGUCUCAGGGCUCAAGUCUUCCAUUGCCGAGGUUUCUUCCGCACAGGCCAAGAUUGGGGCAGAACUUGAAGCCACCAAGCUGGGUUUAAGUCAGAGUGAGGCUCGUGGUCGAGGCAAAGACACAGAAAUAAGUCGAUUAAACAGUGUGGUAGCAGAACUGGAGCGGGUCAUCGAGGAACAGAACCGACAGAAGAGAGAACACGAGACAGAACGGCGGAAACUCCACAACCUGGUGCAAGAGCUGAAGGGCAACAUCCGCGUGUUCUGCCGAGUCCGGCCGUUACUAGGAGAUGAAACUAUUGCCAGCGACGGAGUCAUCCACCAUAUGAACUUCCCCGACCUCGAUGGGAGGGUCAUGGAGCUGGAGAAACUAGGCGACGCCUCCCUCAAUGAGAGUUCACUAGCAGCAUCUCGCCGGGGUCAGAAUAAGUACGACUUUACGUUUGACAAAGUGUUCCAGCCGGAAACCACACAGUCACAGGUGUUUGAGGAAAUAGCACAGUUGGUACAGAGUGCACUGGAUGGCUACAAUGUGUGCAUCUUCGCGUACGGCCAGACAGGGUCAGGGAAGACCUACACGAUGGAGGGAGGCAGUGUAGAUGAUGACCUGACGAUGGGCAUGAUUCCCCGGGCGGUGCAGCAAGUCUUCAGCACGGCCCGGGACCUGGAGGAGAAAGGCUGGCAGUACCAGCUGGAUGCCUCCAUGUUGGAGAUCUACAAUGAGACAAUCCGGGAUCUCCUUAGUGAGGAAGAUAUGAAACACGAGAUCAAGAUGACGGGGAAUGGCAGCACCGAGACCAUCGUCAGCAACCUCACAGUCAUCUCCGUCCAAACAGAAUCUCAGAUCCACAAGUUGUUGAAGAAGGCGACACACAACCGUGCCGUGGCAGAGACCAGGUGCAAUGAACGAUCAUCUCGGAGUCACUCCGUGUUCCAGCUCAAGUUGAGGGGCAGCAAUGAGUUGACAGGGGAGAACUGUUCAGGUGAGGGGAGAACUGUUCAGGUGAGGGGAGAACUGUUCAGGUGAGGGUAGCAAUGAGUUGACAGGGGAGAACUGUUCAGGUGAGGGCAGCAAUAGGUUGGCAGGGGAGAACUGUUCAGGUGAGGGCAGCAAUGAGUUGACAGGGGAGAACUGUUCAGGUGAGGGCAGCAAUGAGUUGACAGGGGAGAACUGUUCAGGUGAGGGCAGCAAUGAGUUGACAGGGGAGAACUGUUCAGGUGAGGGCAGCAAUGAGUUGACAGGGGAGAACUGUUCAGGUGAGGGGAGAACUGUUCAGGUGAGGGGAGAACUGUUCAGGUGAGGGUAGCAAUGAGUUGACAGGGGAGAACUGUUCAGGUGAGGGCAGCAAUGAGUUGACAGGGGAGAACUGUUCAGGUGAGGGGAGAACUGUUCAGGUGAGGGGAGAACUGUUCAGGUGAGGGUAGCAAUGAGUUGACAGGGGAGAACUGUUCAGGUGAGGGGAGAACUGUUCAGGUGAGGGUAGCAAUGAGUUAACAGGGGAGAGCUGUUCAG